rnacentral:misc_RNA from 1 species
GCUUGAAGAAAAGUGCAUAAUGUCCACCUUUUUGGUGUAGAUAUACAGUUGGCAGUGGCGAAAUUACUUAGAUGCCCAUGCCACAUGUCUCCCCACGUGGAACAUCUUAGUUAUUUCACCCUUGCCACAUGUUUAUGUGCAUAAAAAAGGUGUAGACAUUGUUUACAUGUAGCGUUGCUUUCUUUAAACAGUUAACAAUGCUGAUGUUGCUGAACUGAUGAUUAUUUAGAAAUUCCAUGGCAAAAAUAAUUUUUGCAAGCAAAUGGUUAAGUUCUGCAAAUAAUGACAUUCCUGAAAUUCUGUUUGCACCUUUCUCCCUUUUAAUGGGGUUAUUUUGCCGUCCUCUGCAAUAUUCUUGAUUGAUAUGAAGGUG